rnacentral:rRNA from 1 species
GAUGAACGCUGGCGGCGUGCCAAUACAUGCAAGUCGAGCGAACAGACGAGGAGCUUGCUCCUCUGACGUUAGCGGCGGACGGGUGAGGAACACGUGGAUAACCUACCUAUAAGACUGGGAUAACUUCGGGAAACCGGAGCUAAUACCGGAUAACAUGUUGAACCGCAUGGUUCAACAGUGAAAGACGGUUUUGCUGUCACUUAUAGAUGGAUCCGCGUCGCAUUAGCUAGUUGGUAAGGUAACGGCUUACCAAGGCAACGAUGCGUAGCCGACCUGAGAGGGUGAUCGGCCACACUGGAACUGAGACACGGUCCAGACUCCUACGGGAGGCAGCAGUAGGGAAUCUUCCGCAAUGGGCGAAAGCCUGACGGAGCAACGCCGCGUGAGUGAAGAAGGUCUUCGGAUCGUAAAACUCUGUUAUUAGGGAAGAACAAAUGUGUAAGUAACUAUGCACGUCUUGACGGUACCUAAUCAGAAGGCCACGGCUAACUACGUG